AUGCAGUAACGAAAAAGACAGAGAGAGUAGAGAAGAGAAAACUGCGUUUUAAACGGAGACUUGCUCUGCCGAAUCUGGAAAAUACGCACACAACAGCCUCUGUGUGUGCAGUGUGCUAAUGUACGCGGCACAUGCAUUUCACUAACCUCAACUCCCAAUUAUAACCUUCUCUUUAUUCAUUACUUCUGCAACAACGACGGUAACCAUUAACCAUGCCUGCUCUUUUUCUCCUCCUCAUGGUGCUGUGCGCACCGCUCUUAACGUGCGCCGAUCGCAGCGCCGUAACCGUCGCUGAGAUCCAAGCCUUGACAUCCUUCAAGCUCAACCUCCACGAUCCCGCCGGAGCUCUCGACAGUUGGGAUCCCUCGUCUCCGGCGGCGCCCUGCGACUGGCGCGGAGUCGGCUGCACCAACGACCGAGUCACGGAGCUGCGUCUGCCUUGUCUUCAACUCGGUGGCAGACUCAGUGAGCGUAUCUCUGAGUUGCGCAUGCUGCGUAAGAUAAACCUUCGUUCAAACUCCUUCAACGGAACCAUUCCUUCGUCGCUGUCCAAAUGCACGCUCCUACGGUCAGUGUUCUUGCAGGAUAAUUUGUUUUCCGGCAACCUUCCACCGGAGAUCGCGAACCUCACCGGCCUUCAGAUUCUCAACGUCGCGCAGAACCAUAUCUCUGGCAGCGUCCCCGGCGAACUCCCUAUCAGUCUCAAAACCCUCGACCUCUCGUCGAACGCUUUCUCCGGCGAGAUUCCGAGCUCCAUUGCGAACCUCUCUCAGCUUCAGUUGAUAAAUCUUUCCUACAAUCAGUUUUCCGGCGAGAUUCCGGCGAGCCUCGGGGAGCUUCAGCAGCUGCAGUACCUCUGGCUGGACCACAACCUCCUCGGAGGAACGCUUCCUUCGGCGCUCGCCAACUGCUCUGCGCUUUUGCAUCUGAGCGUGGAGGGAAACGCGCUUACCGGCGUCGUUCCGUCGGCGAUUUCGGCACUUCCGAGGCUUCAGGUGAUGUCGCUCUCUCAGAACAAUCUCACUGGCUCCAUUCCGGGUUCCGUUUUCUGCAACGGUUCCGUCCACGCGCCGUCGCUGCGGAUUGUUCAUCUCGGAUUCAACGGUUUCACGGAUUUCGUGGGGCCUGAGACCAGCAGCACGUGUUUCAGCGUUCUUCAGGUUUUGGAUAUUCAGCACAAUCGCAUACGAGGCACGUUUCCGUUGUGGUUGACCAACGUGACCACGUUGACCGUGCUUGAUGUUUCCAGCAAUGCACUUUCCGGCGAGGUUCCGCCGGAAAUCGGAAGCCUUAUCAAGUUGGAGGAGUUGAAGAUGGCUAAGAAUUCCUUCACCGGCACCAUUCCGGUGGAACUCAAAAAAUGUGGGUCCCUAAGUGUCGUUGAUUUUGAAGGCAACGGGUUUGGCGGAGAAGUUCCUUCGUUUUUCGGUGAUAUGAUUGGCCUCAAGGUGUUGUCUCUUGGUGGGAACCAUUUCUCUGGUUCGGUUCCGGUGAGUUUUGGUAACCUUUCAUUUCUUGAAACAUUGAGUUUGAGAGGUAAUAGGUUGAAUGGAAGUAUGCCUGAGACGAUAAUGAGAUUGAAUAAUUUGACGAUACUGGACCUUAGUGGAAACAAAUUUACUGGUCAAGUUUAUACGAGUAUUGGGAAUUUGAAUAGGUUAAUGGUGCUCAAUCUCAGUGGCAAUGGCUUCUCUGGAAACAUCCCUGCUAGUUUGGGGAGUCUUUUCAGGCUAACUACACUUGACUUGAGCAAACAGAAUCUUUCUGGAGAGUUACCACUUGAACUCUCGGGGUUGCCCAGUCUGCAAGUUGUUGCACUUCAGGAGAACAAGUUAUCUGGUGAGGUGCCUGAAGGGUUUAGCAGUUUGAUGAGUUUGCAGUAUGUGAAUCUCAGUUCUAAUGCCUUCUCUGGGCAUAUUCCUGAAAACUAUGGCUUUCUUCGUUCCUUGCUUGUUCUUUCGUUAUCUGAUAAUCACAUUACAGGAACAAUCCCUUCGGAGAUUGGAAACUGCUCUGGUAUUGAAAUGCUUGAGCUUGGGUCAAAUUCUUUGGCAGGUCACAUUCCUGCUGAUCUCUCUCGCCUCACCCUUUUGAAAUUGCUUGAUUUGAGUGGGAACAAUUUAACUGGGGAUGUUCCUGAGGAAAUCUCCAAAUGCUCGUCAUUAACCACUUUGUUUGUGGAUCACAACCAUCUUUCAGGGGCCAUACCUGGGUCAUUGUCGGAUCUAUCAAACCUAACAAUGUUGGAUCUCUCUGCUAAUAACUUGAGUGGGGUAAUUCCGAGUAACCUUUCCAUGAUAUCUGGUUUGGUGUACUUCAAUGUCUCAGGAAAUAACCUGGAUGGUGAGAUACCACCAACGUUGGGAUCCUGGUUCAGCAACCCCUCUGUAUUCGCAAAUAAUCAGGGUUUAUGUGGGAAGCCAUUGGACAAAAAAUGUGAAGAUAUAAACGGUAAAAACAGAAAGAGGUUGAUUGUGCUGGUGGUUGUCAUUGCUUGUGGAGCUUUUGCUCUAGUUUUAUUUUGCUGCUUCUACGUUUUCAGUCUGUUGAGAUGGCGUAAAAGACUGAAACAAGGAGUAUCGGGUGAAAAGAAAAAGAGUCCCGCUAGAGCCAGUUCUGGAACAAGUGCAGCUCGUAGCAGCAGUACUCAGAGUGGGGGACCAAAACUAGUGAUGUUCAACACCAAAAUUACACUUGCUGAGACCAUUGAAGCAACAAGACAAUUCGACGAAGAGAACGUGCUGAGCAGAACAAGGCAUGGAUUAGUGUUCAAGGCCUGCUACAACGAUGGAAUGGUCCUUUCCAUUCGCAGGCUGCAAGAUGGAUCAUUGGAUGAGAACAUGUUUAGAAAAGAAGCCGAGUCACUUGGCAAAGUCAAGAACCGAAAUUUAACAGUUCUCAGAGGUUACUAUGCAGGGCCACCUGACAUGAGACUCCUAGUCUACGAUUACAUGCCCAAUGGAAACCUUGCAACCCUCCUCCAAGAAGCUUCUCACCAAGAUGGCCACGUUCUAAAUUGGCCAAUGCGUCACCUCAUUGCCCUAGGAAUUGCCCGUGGCUUAGCCUUCCUACACCAAUCCUCAAUUGUCCAUGGCGACGUGAAGCCACAAAACGUCCUAUUCGAUGCAGAUUUUGAAGCCCACUUAUCAGAUUUUGGGUUAGACAAGUUAACAAGAGCCACUCCAGGCGAGGCCUCCACUUCAACAUCCGUUGGCACACUGGGUUACGUUUCUCCAGAAGCAGUCUUAACCGGGGAAGCCUCGAAGGAGAGUGAUGUCUACAGCUUUGGCAUUGUGUUGCUGGAACUACUGACAGGAAAACGACCUGUGAUGUUCACCCAAGACGAAGACAUAGUGAAGUGGGUAAAAAAACAACUUCAGAGGGGUCAAAUAACGGAGCUAUUAGAACCAGGUUUACUCGAGUUGGACCCAGAAUCAUCAGAGUGGGAAGAGUUUUUACUGGGUGUAAAAGUUGGGUUGCUUUGCACAGCACCUGACCUUCUUGAUCGACCAACCAUGUCCGACAUUGUUUUCAUGCUUGAAGGCUGCAGAGUUGGUCCUGAUAUCCCAUCCUCCGCAGAUCCCACCUCUCAACCUUCUCCGGCAUAAUAACCCAAAAACUGCAAACUUUUCUGAUCCAACUUUUCAUUUUUUUUGUUGUUUUAGUCAAAACCCUUUUAAGUUGAUUUAAGAAGUGUAACAUUGGUAGUUCGUGGUUGUUAACUUGUGUUUUUGUCUCCACCGGGAUUCUUUCCCACCAAAGAAAAAAAAAUAGAGAAAAGGGAACAUUUUUUCCAUUUUUGAGGGCCAUUUUUACGGUCUGUUUCAACCUGGUGACUGAGAUGGUAUGAAUGGAUUAUGAUAUAUAUCUCUCACUUUCUCGAGCUCUAAGUUAGUCAACGUCUUUGACAGAUGCAGAGUAGAUGCGAUACAGUGGGAUGAGUGAGGACAAGGGGGUGGGGCCCGCGAAGCGUUUCGCGCCAAAGCAACGCAACGGCAUCGUAUUGGUAUUGUUCCCGUCUGAGGAACGGACCUGCGUUUUCUGACAAAUCAUGUGGUCUUGGCGCAGGUUCCGGCAACGGAGUUGGAUGAUGUAGCCGUUAACAGUGUGGGGUCCGAGGUACACACUGUUCCCAAGGGUUUGUUAAUGCAGCUUGAAAAGACAUGUACUAGUAUUCAGUAAUCAGUAUUCUCCCUUGUUGCGCCACGUGGCUUUUUCUGCUAGAUUCGCGAGUUCUUUAUUUUUAGUGGAAAGAAAAUAGAGCAAAGGCGUGAGGGAUGGCGUUACGUUAUGAUUGGGCAUUUGGCCCACUUUUCAACAACUUUGUGGGUCAUGAUAUCAUAUCAAGCAUUUAUUUUUUGAAUUGGAUUCUGUCUGGUUACCAUAUUUCGCUUUUGGCACUUGGCAUGUAUUUGGGGAUUCAGGGGUGGACGAAAAUUAAUAAAUAUAGACCAUGUGUGAUGUGUCUCUGCAUUAUUUUUUUUUUGCCAUAGUUUUUUAAAAUCGCUUUUGCUAUUAAGGAACCUUCCUAUUCAUGAUCCGAUCAGGUUACGUGGGUGUAA